AGCGAACGCUGGCGGCAGGCUUAACACAUGCAAGUCGAACGGGCGUAGCAAUACGUCAGUGGCAGACGGGUGAGUAACGCGUGGGAACGUGCCUUUUGGUUCGGAACAACACAGGGAAACUUGUGCUAAUACCGGAUAAGCCCUUACGGGGAAAGAUUUAUCGCCAAAAGAUCGGCCCGCGUCUGAUUAGCUAGUUGGUGAGGUAAUGGCUCACCAAGGCGACGAUCAGUAGCUGGUCUGAGAGGAUGAUCAGCCACACUGGGACUGAGACACGGCCCAGACUCCUACGGGAGGCAGCAGUGGGGAAUAUUGGACAAUGGGCGCAAGCCUGAUCCAGCCAUGCCGCGUGAGUGAUGAAGGCCCUAGGGUUGUAAAGCUCUUUUGUGCGGGAAGAUAAUGACGGUACCGCAAGAAUAAGCCCCGGCUAACUUCGUGCCAGCCGCCGCUGUAAAAC
rnacentral:rRNA from 1 species